rnacentral:tRNA from 1 species
CAACAAGUGGUUUAUGAUUAGAAUAUUAAUUUUGGGUAUUAGAGGUAUAGGGUUUCCUAUCUUGUUGA